UGCAGAUUGAAUCAAAAGAUUCUACUGAGUAUUUUUUGUCUUGGAAAGGAGCUAUAUAUAGAUACUGCAAGUCAUGUUUUUGUUUUCUUUGCUUCAACUGCUAAUCAGCCUACACAAGCCUGGUAAUGUCCUCAUAACUCAUGGGAGAGCUUACAUUAGUACAUUUUCUUGAUAUGGUACCUGUCAUGUAGAUACAGAAAGUGAAUGCACUUUAUAAGAUCCCUGAACAAGUUUUUUUGGUGAUCAACCUGCCAUUGAUGUACUGACGAAGAAGAAAAAUGCAUUGCUUGGAGUGGCUACAAAUGAUGAUGGAAAGCAAGUGGAGGAAGAUGCUAGAUAUCCACCAUGGGUGCAAUGUUGCCUGAAAUCUCAUUAUCUGGAUAAAUCUGAUAUUUGGGGAAGUCGACAGUAUCGAAUAUUUGGCACUAGAUUGGUGGUUAUUAGGAUAGAUACUCAUUGUCUUGUAUGUUGGUUGGAAAUUGUAUAGCAUGUUAGUUUUACCAUGUGAUUUAAGAUUUAUUGGUUUAAGUUUUCGGGUCUUUGUCUCCUGGGAGCUAUAAUAUAAUUUGAUGACAGUGUUGAAUGUUUUAAACUAAUUUGUGGAUUGUUAAUACAAUGUUGAAUGCUUUUUACUU